CGAGAGUGAAUAAGUGAAGAACAGACUGUGAAUGUGAUACCUACCCAGAAAGCUGUAUGCAGCAGAGCCGGUGAGAAACACUCGAAGUCUCAGUAACAGUGUCUUUGUGUCCUAGCGGCCACCUGUGGAGAGAGAGAAGAACGAGAGCGAAUAAGUGAAGAACAGACUGUGAAUGUGAUACCUACCCAGAAAGCUGUAUGCAGCAGAGCCGGUGAGAAAUACUCGAAGUCUCAGUAACAGUGUCUUUGUGUCCUAGCGGCCACCUGUGGAGAGAGAGAAGAACGAGAGCGAAUAAGUGAAGAACAGACUGUGAAUGUGAUACCUACCCAGAAAGCUGUAUGCAGCAGAGCCGGUGAGAAAUACUCGAAGUCUCAGUAACAGUGUCUUUGUGUCCUAGCGGCCACCUGUGGAGAGAGAGAAGAACGAGAGCGAAUAAGUGAAGAACAGACUGUGAAUGUGAUACCUACCCAGGAAGCUGUAUGCAGCAGAGCCGUGGCCGCCUGAGGAGAGAAAGGAGGACGAGAGUGAACAAUCGGAGGACAGACGGUGUAACACGCUACCUACCCCGAGAGCUGUAAGCGGCAGAACCGGUGAGAAGCAUACCAAAUCCACACUAACCGUGUUUCUGUGCCGCAGUAAACACCUGCGGGAGACGUGAAGGCACGUGGGGCGAGGACCCCCUGCCGGACCGAGGAAGGGCUCACGGACAGUGGAAAAUCUCCUACCAGUCACACCUAAAUUGUUCUGCCUCCGGGAAAGAAGAAGGAGGGCGCCACGGUUAACAGGGUCCAGGCCGGAGCCUGACGAUUCCCUCUUUCUCCCGGCUUUGGUGGUUGACACCCCUGUUGCCCUUGCCCCUGUCUGCCCGGGCUGCAGUCUCCCUGGAGGGAGGAGAAGAAGCCUAUUAGUUUUAAAUUCCCCUUUCCCCAAUUCCCCAGUUCUUUUAAAUAUUUAAAUUCAAUAAAGCUUGUUUUAAAUUUUA